rnacentral:sRNA from 14 species
AUGAAAAAUCGGUAGGUGAGGCUACCAUAGGGAUACGGAUGACUACCGCAAAGUAGUGGAGACACUAUGCGCUGGUUAGCAGUUGAGAUCGCUAAGGUUUUGACUAAUGUCAUUUCACUGCCCUACGGAGUUAAAGCUUGAACGGAACACAAGA